rnacentral:lncRNA from 1 species
GUUAAGAACAAUAUCAGCAAAGUUUCGAGCUGAAUCUAAACUUUUGGUGGUAUCCAAGACUAAGGAAUCACUGUAUACCUCAGAACUGGUUUGAAGAGCUAAGAAAAGGAGUACAGUGAAGAAGAAAACAAUGCCACCCUUGCUGGAACUCCAGGCUCAUCUUUCUCCAUUACCUUCCCAAUAUUCCACCAUCCAGCAUUACCCAGUGGUUUCCAGUUUCUGUUGCCUCUGCCUACAACCCUGUCUCCAUCACCACCAUCUGAUGAGUCUGCCUUAGCUCUCAGCUUAGAGGCUUCACUUCCUCCUGAGGUUGCUUUCUCCCAAGUUAAAAACAGACUGAGAGCAUCCAAUCUAUGGGAAACACCAGAAAGGGCCAUCACAGAACCCAGAGGAGAAAAUAACAGACCCCUGUGUCACGAGUAUCACAUUCAGAUCUCCAUAAAUAAAGGCUCCUUCACAUCUGGAAUUAAU